rnacentral:rRNA from 1 species
UACGAAGGGGGCUAGCGUUGUUCGGAAUUACUGGGCGUAAAGCGCACGUAGGCGGAUACUUAAGUUAGGGGUGAAAUCCCGGGGCUCAACCCCGGAACUGCCUUUAAUACUGGGUAUCUCGAGUUCGAGAGAGGUGAGUGGAAUUCCGAGUGUAGAGGUGAAAUUCGUAGAUAUUCGGAAGAACACCAGUGGCGAAGGCGACAUACUGGGUCAUGACUGACGCUGAGGCUCGAAAGCGUGGGGAGCAAACAGG